rnacentral:rRNA from 1 species
CGGGAAAAGCUCAAAUUUAAAAUCUGGCAGUCUUUGGCUGUCCGAGUUGUAAUUUGUAGAGGAUGCUUUUGGUGCGGUGCCUUCCGAGUUCCCUGGAACGGGACGCCUUAGAGGGUGAGAGCCCCGUACGGUUGGACGCCUAGCCUCUGUAAAGCUCCUUCGAC